GAUGAAGAACGUAGCUAAAUGCGAUAAGUAAUGUGAAUUGCAGAAUUCAGUGAAUCAUCGAAUCUUUGAACGCACAUUGCGCCCCCUGGUAUUCCGGGGGGCAUGCCUGUUCGAGCGUCAUUUCAACCCUCAAGCUCUGCUUGGUAUUGGGCGUCGCCGGGGAGUCUCCCCGGCGUGCCUCAAAGCCAUCGGCGGUGGUGCCUUUCUCUAAGCGUGGUAGAAUUUUUAUUCGCUUCUGAGUUGGGCUUCGCCUGCCGGACAAACCGGGCCCUCGCGGCCCACCUUCUCAGGUUGACCUCGGAUCAGGUAGGGAUACCCGCUGAACUUAAGCAUAUCAAUAAGCGGAGGA
rnacentral:misc_RNA from 1 species